GACUGUACUAGUUUGUCUGGUUGGUCACAUUCUGUGAGCCAUGAACAAAGUUCAACAGGUCUAACUCAGGGUGACUAUCCACUCUUCCAUGUUGCUUAAAGAUCACCUGUUGAAACUCCUGGUUGGAGAACACCCCACCCCACUUUGAGUGGAUCAAAGACAACACGGGCCAACAGAGCAUGGCCCCCACAGCUAUGGUACAGCAAGCAGCAUCACCAAAGCUGCUGAGAGAUAAGGAACCUGGAAAGCUAGCAUGCCGGCAAAAGGCCUGGGAUUCCUUAGGAGAAACAGAGGAGGUACCACGGGCCCCAUUUAGGGAAAAACCUGUUUUCCUCAUGAAACCCACAAAAUUGACACAACUGGAGACACUGAUUAUUUUACCAAGGCUUUGACUGGAAAUGGCAUGGUUUCAGGCUGCUUUGAGUAACUGAGGUUGACUUACAGAGCUGAUAACAGCCCCUUGGAAAUACUGGUCUCAUACCUUGUCCUUUACAGGGCUCCUAACCCGUAGUAAAUAAAGAAUGUCACUUUCUGACAGACCCAGGAAUCCCAAGUUAUUGUGGGACCUCAAGAAGAGAGAAAUUCACCCAAUUCAUACAGACCUUGGGAUCUCAACCUGGCACACAUGAAUACAUACCAACAAUUACAAGACAGUUUCACUCCUCUUACCCUGAGGGCAACUCCCACUCCAAAUCUGCCCCUGUGAGCAGGAAGAAGUUACAGUGGCUGUAGGCCUUUUUCCAUUUCCAUAACACACAGAUUAAAAAUAAGGUAUGAUGAAACCCAAAGGAGGGGGAUUAAAACUGUCUUUGCAAAAAUUGUAACAGUGAGAAAAUUCUGACCUAACCAAAUUCAGUCUUGCCUUUAACCUCCAAACUGCCCUUGGUCAUUUGAUAUGGUUUGGCUGUGCCCCCACCCAAAUCUCAUCUUGAAUUGUAGCUCUCACAAUUCCCACAUCGUGAGGGGGACCUGGUGGGAGAUAAUUGAAUCAUGAGGGUGAACCUUUAUCAUGCUCUUCUCAUGAUAGUGAAUAAGUCUCACAAGAUCUGAUGGUUUUAUAAAGAGGAGCGCCCCUGCACAAGUUCUGUGUUGCCUGCCAUCAUGUAAGACAUCCCUUGUUCUUCAGCCAUGAUUGUGAGGCCUCCCCAGCCAUGUGGAACUGUG
rnacentral:lncRNA from 10 species